UACAGAGGGGGCAAGCGUUGUUCGGAAUUACUGGGCGUAAAGGGCGCGUAGGCGGCCCGCUAAGUCGAACGUGAAAUCCCCAGGCUCAACCUGGGAACUGCGUCCGAUACUGGCAGGCUUGAAUCCGGGAGAGGGAUGUGGAAUUCCAGGUGUAGCGGUGAAAUGCGUAGAUAUCUGGAGGAACACCGGUGGCGAAGGCGGCAUCCUGGACCGGUAUUGACGCUGAACGGCGAAAGCUAGGGGAGCAAACGGG
rnacentral:rRNA from 1 species